rnacentral:rRNA from 1 species
CUACGGGAGGCAGCAGUGGGGAAUAUUGCACAAUGGGGGAAACCCUGAUGCAGCCAUGCCGCGUGUGUGAAGAAGGCCUUCGGGUUGUAAAGCACUUUCAGUAGGGAGGAAAGGGUGAGUCUUAAUACGGCUCAUCUGUGACGUUACCUACAGAAGAAGGACCGGCUAACUCCGUGCCAGCAGCCGCGGUAAUACGGAGGGUCCGAGCGUUAAUCGGAAUUACUGGGCGUAAAGCGUGCGCAGGCGGUUUGUUAAGCGAGAUGUGAAAGCCCUGGGCUCAACCUAGGAAUAGCAUUUCGAACUGGCGAACUAGAGUCUUGUAGAGGGGGGUAGAAUUCCAGGUGUAGCGGUGAAAUGCGUAGAGAUCUGGAGGAAUACCGGUGGCGAAGGCGGCCCCCUGGACAAAGACUGACGCUCAUGCACGAAAGCGUGGGGAGCAAACAGGAUUAGAUACCCUGGUAGUCCACGCCGUAAACGAUGUCUAGCUCGGAGUUUGGUGUC